GCUUGAUAUUAGUCGGCCUCAGUAACCUAUCUUCAUAAAAAUGAAGCUCAUCCUCGUUGCUUUCAUGUCAUGCCUCUCGCUAGGUUUUGUUGCACCAGAGUGCAAUAAUGAAACAUUAAUCGAUGCCACCAUCGGGUGCGGUAAAAGAUAUCUUCAGGAACAAGGCCUCACUACUCCAAGACCCGCAACCGAGCUAGAGCCUGAAGAUACCAGUCUUGAGACGCACAAAAUAGUCUGCUGUGCACUGGAAUACAACAAGCAUUGCUUGCCAGAAGUACUCAAAGGAGAAGGUUGUGAAGCUGAGAUGAGUCAAAUUCUUCUGAAGUCAGAGAAGGACAUCGAAGCUCUGUUUAAAACACUAAAGUGCAAAUACGUGUGCAACAGCAACAGCGCUGCAAGCAGUAUACAUCCUAUAUGGUUUGUGGCAAUGAUGGUUUCAGUGACGUCCAUGGUUCAGGUCGCAACAUUUUAAAAGUAGCGACUGGUCAUAGUCUCUGCUGGCUUUCAUCGUUGAUUGUUUUAUCCGAGUUGACGAAAUUAUCGCAAUAAAGGCGGUAUUGUGACCAC